GAGUGAUGGGGAAAGCCCAGCGCUAAAUCCUCUAGUCUAUGGCUAGUUGGAAAUGUAGCGUAUAGGUGUGGCCUAUAUUAAAAGUCGUUGACGACGCAAAACCCAAAGUCUACCUUGAACGGGGCCAAGAUCCAUAGAAGGUGUUAGACCUGUACGGGUUGCGUUCGUCGACGAUCGGUCAUACUUUAGAGUCGGGUUGCCUGAGAUCGCAGCCCAAAUCGGGUGGUAGACUUCAUCUAAGGCUAAAUAUGGCCACGAGACCGAUAGCAAACAAGUACCGUGAGGGAAAGUUGCAAAGAACUUUGAAGAGAGAGUUCAAGAGGGCGUGAAACCGCUGAGAAUGAAGCGGAUAGAGUCGACGAAACUUAAUCAGUAUUCAGCCGACACGCUCGAGCGGUACCGUAUACGUGCGUUACACCCGGCCGUCAAAAGUUGCGCGUGUUUCGUUUUACGUAUACGCUAUUAUGGCUACUGCUUGGCGCUAAUUUCGGUGCAUUUACUGGUUGUAUGCGUUGAGAGCUUCGUAAUUCGCGCACGAAGACGCUCAACAUGCAGAGGCUUGUCGUGUGAAAUACCUCGGCGAGAGACCUAAUGUGAGCGAUUUAUCUCCGGCGUGUCGCUUAUGAAGUUUGCGUUUUUCUUUCUUUCGCGCACAACUGAACACACUCGAACCGUGUUCGCCACCUUCACGGGUGUUUGGACACGAUUCGAGCGUUCAACGCGCUCAUCGUUGACGAAUGGCGGUGCGCGAAAUAGAUAAUAUUUUGUGUUUAUCGCUUUUUUGUUAACGGUGCAAAAUGGCGCUAAAAAAUUUGAGUUGUGUGUCUCGACGUGAACGUCGAUCACCUAUCCGACCCGUCUUGAAACACGGACCAAGGAGUCUAGCGUAUACGCGAGUCAUUGGGUGUGCGAAUGCCUAAAGGCGUAAUGAAAGUGAAUGUCGCGAUUAGCGCGACUGUUAUGCGAUUUGCAAUGUGUUUUCUUAAUUUCACAUUCUUAAUUCAUUGCAAAGCAGCAUAGUCCCGUCUACGUUACACUGUAAUGAGGCGGAGAAUGAGCGUAUGCGCUGGGACCCGAAAGAUGGUGAACUAUGCCUGAGCAGGACGAAGCCAGAGGAAACUCUGGUGGAGGUCCGAAGCGGUUCUGACGUGCAAAUCGAUCGUCUGACUUGGGUAUAGGGGCGAAAGACUAAUCGAACCA
rnacentral:rRNA from 1 species